GCCUCCCAAAGUGCUGGGAUUACAGGGGUGAGCCACCGCACCCAGCCGAUCUAAUUUAUUUUUAAUUUUUGAUAUACAGCCACUCACCAACAAUUUAUGUUCUUCUGAUGUGGUUCCUACUUUGAUGAAACUACAGUAGUAGCUAUUUUACAGAUGUAUGUCAGGUUAAAAAAAGAAACCUCGGAAAUGUAAAGAAUUUACACAGAAACCAGCAGAUCAAAUAGAAGCCAGGCAAAUUAAUUAUUUUAGACUCAGAAUUUGGUAACCAUUAUUGGGUGCGGUUUCUCAACAUCUCUACCCAGAAACCUUUGUGGAAGCAAUUUCUUAUUUAACAUUUCAAGUAAUCCAGUGUUUGUAAUGUUUUCCUAUGAGUUUGUAGCAACUUACAAGUCGUGGUCAGUGGCCUGUUAUUACAGAUAUGGGGCUGAGACGCAGAGCAGUUAAGCUGCCCUAGUUUUAGGGAUACAGCUCCGGAUCAUUAGCCCCACUCUGAACAUAUACAGUGGGCUGGGCACUGAAUGGAGGAGGCUUUCCUGACAGACACCCCCACAGCCUCACGGAGCUGAAGAGAAUCCCUGGGAUCUGUGGGCUCCAUCCCAGCCUUCCCAUCACGUGAAUUCACACAAACUACCUCCCUCAGCUGGGCACCUGGGGAUAAGGGUUUGACAUCCAUGUUUCUGCCAGGACACAGAGUCUCUGACAUGUUAUAUACAAGAGGACAAUGAGCUCCACUUUUACUGAGGACAAGAGAUAAAAUGAACUGGAGGCAGCACAGGAAAUCUCAACAGCUAAAAUGAAGACAAUCUGCUGAAGAGAUCACCCAGCAACUGAGAGAAGGGGCCAGGGUUAGAACCUGUGCUGCUCCAUUAAUGAAUUUAGGAGUCAUUCAUUAAUGAUUCAGGAGAUGCUGUUAUGUGCAGCAUUUGGACUAGGCUCUAAGGACACAGGGGCCUAAGACUGUUCCUGCCCCAAAGGGUUUGUAGUUUAUUGGGGAGACUGACAGGUAAACCAUUAAUUGCCAUACCUUUUGAUAUGAGCUGCAUCAGGGUAAGCUCCUGGGCUAUGGGAGCCCUGAGCGUCACAGUGCCUUCUUCCACAGACAUCAUGCUCAGGUAUCAUGUCCACACGCCCUGAACCUCUUACACACCCUUGUGAUCCCAGGAAUCACAAUAUAUUGUGAUGAUUUGUUCAUGAGUCUCAAUUCCUGACCAGAUUGUGAGCUCUGCAAAAAUGGGUACCUCUGCCUAGCCAACAGUACACACAAUGACCUGAGCCAAAGGAACUGGAAAUUUUGAGGUGCUCAGGAAGAUGUCCUUCACCCUGAGGUGUAUAAGGUUAUGGAAGAAGGGCAAAGACAAGGAGGGGACCAAGCACAUUACAUUCAGUUCAACUACAAACUGGGUAUUACAAGAAUCCCUGGGCAGGACGCCCACUAUCUCUGUGCCUCACCUUCCCAUCUGUAGAAAGGGUUAAUCACCUGAGUCAGGCUCUCUUAACAUUAAUUAUGAGAAGAUCAUUUAGGAAGGCAGUACGCUUUAGAAAAUAUCAAGUACUACCAGAAUCGGAGAGCAUAAUUCAUGAAGAGGCUGUGCCCAAGAGAAGGCAGGCAGUUCGGGGAGACUCACACAGGAUGCUUGUUGUACAUGAUUGGCAGAAACUCAUCCACUGGUAGCAUCUUCCCAAAAGGAUUGGCUCCAACCAGCUUCUGUGCUCCUUCCAGAGAGAUGGCGUAGCCCAGGGUCCAGUAGGAAUAGUCAGCUUCGACCAGGUUUUCCACAUUGGGCACCACUUUCUCUGGUUCCUUGACUUGCAUCCUCUUCCUACCAAUAUAACUACAAGGAAAUAGCAGAGGAGAAAAGUUCUACCUUGAAUAUUAGGCUGUGGUAAGGAUGGAGCACAGCUUUGGUUUACAUAGAUAUCUUUGAAAUCCCGGACUGUCUGUCAUUAAAUGAUGUAUCACGUCCCAAAGUGGAUCCUAUCACCAGUCAUGACUGACAUCUGCCAUCACUGGGGCCAUUUUUCUGGCUUCAUUUAUCAACACCCCCACUAUACCUGUCUAGUGGACUGUUUUCAAGCCAGAAAGUAAGAUGUAGUGACAUUAAAAGAUCUUUCAGCUCAUUUAUUAAAGAUGGGAUGGGGUUUCCUGCUGUUUACAGAGGUUGGAAAGGCACAAAAAAGGCCAGAUGGGAGAAUCCUGAACCUGCUGUCUUCAGGUCCCAAGAGUAUCAGCCUUGGGUGCCUUCUGCACAGGGCU